rnacentral:rRNA from 1 species
GAUCCUGGCUCAGGAUGAACGCUAGCUACAGGCUUAACACAUGCAAGUCGAGGGGAAACGACAUUGAAAGCUUGCUUUUGAUGGGCGUCGACCGGCGCACGGGUGAGUAACGCGUAUCCAACCUACCCACCACUUGGGGAUAACCUUGCGAAAGUAAGACUAAUACCCAAUGACGUCUCUAGAAGACAUCUGAAAGAGAUUAAAGAUUUAUCGGUGAUGGAUGGGGAUGCGUCUGAUUAGCUUGUUGGCGGGGUAACGGCCCACCAAGGCGACGAUCAGUAGGGGUUCUGAGAGGAAGGUCCCCCACAUUGGAACUGAGACACGGUCCAAACUCCUACGGGAGGCAGCAGUGAGGAAUAUUGGUCAAUGGGCGAGAGCCUGAACCAGCCAAGUAGCGUGCAGGAUGACGGCCCUAUGGGUUGUAAACUGCUUUUAUAAGGGAAUAAAGUGAGUCUCGUGAGACUUUUUGCAUGUACCUUAUGAAUAAGGACCGGCUAAUUCCGUG